UGUUAAAAAUUAUAUUUAUUUUUGCAGUUAAAUAUUGACAUGAUUGUCAAAAUAAUCAAAUCGUAACAUAUGGCAUACCAUAUAUACCUCAUGCUGAAGUAGGGACCAAACUUUAACUAUAAAAAUGGAUUAAUUUUUUAAUA
rnacentral:pre_miRNA from 1 species